UGAGUUUGAUCCUUGGCUCAGGGAUGAACGCUAGCGACAAGCUUUAACACAAGCAAAGUCGAGGGGGCAGCACAGGGUAGCAAAUACUGGGGUGGCCAACCGGGCGCACGAGGUGCGUAACGCGUAUGCCACCCUACCUUAUAAUAGGGGGAUAGCCUUCUGAAAGGGAGAUUAAAGACCGCAUAAUACACCUGAAUGGCAUGGAUUAGUUGUAAAAUACUUAUAGAUUAUAGAUGACCAUGCGUCUGAUUAGAUAGUGGAGAGGUAACGGCUCACCAAGUCAACGAUCAGUAGGGGUUCUGAGAGGAAGGUCCCCACACCCGGAACUGAGACACGGUCCGGACUCCUACGGGAGGCAGCAGUGAGGAAUAUUGGUCAAUGGGCGAGAGCCUGAACCAGCCAAGUCGCGUGAAGGAAGAAGGUCUUAUGGAUUGUAAACUUCUUUUAUAGGGGAAUAAAGAUGAGUACGUGUACUCAGUUGUAGGUACCCUAAGAAUAAGGAUCGGCUAACUCCGUGCCAGCAGCCGCGGUAAUACGGAGGAUCCGAGCGUUAUCCGGAUUUUUUGGGUUUAAAGGGUGCGUAGGCGGGUUGAUAAGCCAGUGGUGAAAGGUUUCCGCUUCAAAGUAGACAUUGCCAUUGAAACUGUCAGUCUUGAGUAAAAAUGAAGGUGGGCGGAAAAGCUGGUUUGAGUUUGAUCCUUGGCUCAGGGAUGAACGCUAGCGACAAGCUUUAACACAAGCAAAGUCGAGGGGGCAGCACAGGGUAGCAAAUACUGGGGUGGCCAACCGGGCGCACGAGGUGCGUAACGCGUAUGCCACCCUACCUUAUAAUAGGGGGAUAGCCUUCUGAAAGGGAGAUUAAAGACCGCAUAAUACACCUGAAUGGCAUGGAUUAGUUGUAAAAUACUUAUAGAUUAUAGAUGACCAUGCGUCUGAUUAGAUAGUGGAGAGGUAACGGCUCACCAAGUCAACGAUCAGUAGGGGUUCUGAGAGGAAGGUCCCCACACCCGGAACUGAGACACGGUCCGGACUCCUACGGGAGGCAGCAGUGAGGAAUAUUGGUCAAUGGGCGAGAGCCUGAACCAGCCAAGUCGCGUGAAGGAAGAAGGUCUUAUGGAUUGUAAACUUCUUUUAUAGGGGAAUAAAGAUGAGUACGUGUACUCAGUUGUAGGUACCCUAAGAAUAAGGAUCGGCUAACUCCGUGCCAGCAGCCGCGGUAAUACGGAGGAUCCGAGCGUUAUCCGGAUUUUUUGGGUUUAAAGGGUGCGUAGGCGGGUUGAUAAGCCAGUGGUGAAAGGUUUCCGCUUCAAAGUAGACAUUGCCAUUGAAACUGUCAGUCUUGAGUAAAAAUGAAGGUGGGCGGAAAAGCUGGUU
rnacentral:rRNA from 1 species